UGUAUUAGCAAAAGUGCACAACUGUAGUAGUAACAAAAAGUAGCCAAUGUUUACCAAUGAUCGGAGACAAGAAGAGCGAACUGGAAGAUAUGGAACUUCAAGGCUGCAAUACCUUCAGGCUAACUCCGCCUACUGUUUGUUCUAAUUAUACACGAUUGGUCUUCGCUUAAUGUAUGCUGGAGUUGAUCCUAAUGUUUCACUUGGCCAUGUACUUCACUUUUGUUGCAGGAAUUGGUGACUCAAUUUCAGAGUGCUACUAGUCAAGGAACAAAAGGAGAAAAUUGUUGCUAAUUUGGCAAAUUUUGCUUUUGAUCCUUACAACUAUACCUAUUUGCGCCUGAUUACAUACAGCUCAAUGUGGUGGAACAUUUUCUGGACUGCAUAACAGAACCAAAUGAUAAGCUUGUGGAAUUUGGAGUAGGUGGGAUCUGAAAUUGUUGCCCCUAUCGGGCCAAUGCAGCAAUUAUCACUCAGUGUGGUGGUAACCCCCCUUGUUAUUCAAUGUUUAUCGAGCCCAGUUAGAAACACUGAUCUUUUUAUUUCGUUAAUCAUGUUGAACGAGGAGAUACAACUGUGGCAAUCGACAGGAAUAAAGCUCCGGAAGUAUCACUUGGUACUUGCAAAUUUUAUUCGACCAGAAUGGUUCAUAAAAGAAACAACACCAUUCGAUA